rnacentral:lncRNA from 1 species
UUUGGUUUGACAGCUGAAGGUCAAUUAGAAUAUGGACCUAAAAACAAAGUAUGUCUAUGAGUCAACUAUCUUACCCUAUGAAAAACUCCUUGUGGCUCUACAGGAGGGCCUCUUCAACCUUUAGACAGAAACUGUUGAUCAAGUGUGGGACUAGGACUCAAUUAAGUUGCACCUAGGCUCCUUGCCUCUGUGAUUCAAGUUGUUUAGAAAGUGGGGGAGUCCAUCCUGAACCUUGUGAGUCCCUGCAUCCAGUAGGCUCUGCAUAUUUUUUUGAGAGAGAACCUACCUAUAAGUUACCGCAGAUCAGAGGAGGCAAAAUUUCUUCCAUGUGUCAGCCAUGUCAUUUGUUAACCACUGAGAUUCAAGAAGUGUGCUGUUAGCUCAGUAGUGGAUGGUGGCACUGUACAAUGUUUCUACUGUACAGAGUGGUUUACAAGUCAACAACAAAUGGUAACUAGCUCUGUAAAAACAUGGCAGCUUGUUCUCUAUGGGGAUAGGCUAUACUUCUUCAAAGGAAUAAUUUGGAGCAAAAAUUCACUGGGGGUGUCUAUAGACUUCUUACUUGGUCUUGCUUGAGAAAAACAAAUAUAACUGUGAAUGUACGUGCACGUGUAUGUGUAACAGAAAAAGACACCAGUGAACUACAGUGUCUAUGGCUUAAUCUGCAGCUUGUUAGUUUGGGAAAUAUCUCACUUAUUUUAUAUCUAAAUAGAAGCUGCCUUGCCAAUAGAUCAUUAAAUGUGAAACAGUUUCUAAUUUAAUUGUUGUUAUUCUUCCCAGUCAUAAUUGUCUGCUGCAAUCUGCUACUUUGCAUCAUUCCACAUCUCCAAGCUACGUACAAUAGUGUAGACAUGAAAAUCAAUGUGUGUGACACAUGAUGCAAGAACUGUUAUUUGCAAUCAUGUAAUACUUGAGAAGUUUCUAAAUAUUUGGAAGGUUCCACACUAUUGAAAACAGUAGCAAUUCUGUAAGUAGAACCUAAUCUGCUAUGUAAGGUGCAAUCAGUGCUGCUAGCGCUGACUCACAUGACUGCUUCCUAGCAUAAUCAUUUCUCAAAUUAAUUUUAAGAUGUUUGUUUAGAGGAUGAAAAGUAUAAUGUAUUUAUUUGACUUGACAUAACAUAGCGUUACUGUGAGGUACAGGACAAAUAAAAGGAUUUUUCAACUUACUUCUUAAACUUUUCUGUUGGUAAUACUAGUCUACAAAAAUGCAAAAGAAUAGAACUUCAGGUUGUAAGUUUCUUAAAUGCUAUCAUGAGCCACUGACAGAUCACCUGACACUGAAGUCACUGGAAAUACAUUUAACUCUGUGGACAUUUUGCAAGUUACUCUCUAAGGAUAAUUUCAUGCUAUUCUGCAGUAUUUGUUCACAGGAACAAUUAUUAUCAAAGACAGUUAAUAUUUUACAGCAUAUACAAGCCAGCUUCUUUAUGCAUAAAUGUUGAGACAAGCUUUCUGCCCCAUUCAGCCAAUGUUAAAUGAAUAAGAUAGGGUAAUAGGCUAUAAAAAGACAAAGGGCAACUUUUAUGGUAAUAAAAUGCUGUGCUUCUUUGCUUUUUAUUCCACUUACUUGAGGGUACUGUUUCCUUUCAGGUGCUGGGCAGUCACUAAUACAACUGCACUAAUGUUAAUGACUGAUAGUUUACUCCACAGCAGGGUCAGUACAUGCUAGUGUUAAGUCAACCACUGCAGAUAACAAUUUAUUAUUGGUGUUCAAUGUAUUUAUGGGAAGUGUUUUAAGUGCACUGAUUUCAGUUCUCCUUUACAUUACUUUAACUCAGUGAUACAUUUGCUUAGCAGCGUGCAUUCACCUGAACCUUGUGGUAUUCAGACUUGGUCGUCUGUGGCUCUUUAAAAUUAGAAGGCCAGAUUCACCUUUUGGCAUCUGUUCUUCAGCAGUCAAUAACCAGUCAAUGACAAUUUCCCUGACAUUCUGGUAUGGAUUUGCUGUGGGGAAAUAAUACAAAUAAUCUAAAUAAUACAUCCUGAGAACUCUAAAAACACUAACUGUGGGGCUACCUAGCAUCAGACUGACUUCUUGUAUUCCCACGUCCACAACAACCCAUGUGUACAUCUGUAAUGAAAUGGUAUGCUCUGGGAGCGCAGCUUUGUAGGUGGACAGAAACAUAAUGGUUUUUUUUCUCUCUGAAAUUUAUCAGAACUAAACUGUUUUCAAAAUUACUUACAAAUCAGAACAUUCUAACAAAAACUUACUGUGGGAUUUUCUUUUUUCCCAAUGAAUUCUAAUUGGAAGUGAAGAAAGCAAAUGUGAAAAGUUAGAAGAGCUGACACUGAAGGGACGUGCAUCUGUUGCAUUAAAUCUAAUUGGUUGCUGUAAAUUAAAAGGGGAAGCAAAAUAGCCUCCAGCUAUACAAUUAGCUGGCCAUCUAGCUGGCACUGUUAGUUAGCAACUGAACUUUUCAAAGCCACUGUGUAAGAGAAAGUAGUUAGAAAAAAAAUACAUAUAUUAUGUAUUAUAUUAUGUAUAUAUUCCUUUUUCACUCUUUUGAAACACAGUGUUUAAUAUAGUUACCUUUUCAAACUCUUCAUCUCUGUAAAGAGAUCACACCGGUUCCUGCAUACACACUGCUUUGCCUUCAGUCCUUCCUUUUGAAAGUGUUCGUGUGACAGGCAGGAAUUCAGGAAAGGUCAUGAGAUAAUAGGAACCAGCACCCUCUGAUAAGUCAGGUGGCUUAGAUGAGGGAUAUGUACUAAGUAGAUGUGGGGUUUUUGCUAUCAUUUGGAAGGGGAUAUUGUCAGCACUGAGACAAUUUUGUCAGGGAAUAAUGGAUUCUAGAGUUUUACAAUUUAAAACUGGGGAAAAUGGAAGCACUGUUGAUACAGUGCUGAGCUUUAUGGCUUCCAGAGCUCCUCUGUCAUCAAAGGGAAGCUUUCUGUUAUGUUUAGUUGCAAGCAUGCAUCCUGCACACUUUCUGUACCUUCAUCCUCUCCUGUAGGUGUAUUCAGUGAGUGUCUGAGGGCAGGAGAAGCAGGCAAAAUGUACAACUUCUAAACAAGUGAAUGAGACAGUCAGACUUUGGGCAAAAGAGGCCUGUCUCCCUCAGGAUUCCUCUGAACUGAUGGACAGGCUUUGGCAUUCCAGAAAUUCACAACACCUUAAUGGGGCUCCUCUAAAUUGCCUCUUACCAUUGGCUGCACAAGAAGCAUUGGUUCUCCAGUUGUUAGAGAGUCUGUAUGGAAGCUUUUCUUAGUGUACACAGGAAAUGCAUGGAGAUAUUUGUAUCUUACUCCAGCCAAAAUAUGCAAAGGUAUUACUAGAAGAGACAAAAAACAUAAUUUAAUUAGAGAUACUCUUUGAAAAAAGUCUGAAAAAGUCUGUUAUGCAAUAUUUUGGGAGUCUUUGAAAUAUAAAGGACGCAUAAUAAAAGUGGUUCUUGUAAUUAGCAACAGACUUGGAAGGCAGAAAACUCUGUCCCAGCAUUUCUUAAUGCAAAGGUCUGCUAUGACCUGAUAAAGAAAUGUUCAUAAGAAAAGAUAAGGCUGUGUGGGCUGAAAAAAUAACGUUGUUAAUGUAACAUCAUGUUGUCUUGAGGAAGGAAAGUGUUUACCCAAAUGCACGCUACCCUUGUUAAUUUGCUUGGAUUCAGUGCUACUCAAGGCAAUCUUACAGAAAGACUGUAAAAGUUGUGGGGUUAUAUUUGUGGUUACAUUUGUGGAAUAAAAGGUAAACCAAGCACAAUUAUGAAAAUGGAUUUCUUGUUUGCACCCAUGCUCUCAGAGCUAACCCAGCUAAGAAGGCUACUCUAGAAUCAGAUCUCAAUUGGGUUACAGACCUUAAUAUGGCAGUUGACUGAAUGAAGGUAUUUUUAAGCAUUGGACAGCUAGUAUGACAGUCUCCAUGCAGAGACACUUUUAAAUUGUGUACUUCAGUUCUGGUUUGUGAUGCUGAACAAAGACCUUUCAGUAUUUGUUAUACAUUUCAGUAUUCAAUAUACAAUUCAAAAUGUCUCAGAAGCAUUUUGUUUGAUAACUUUAUAUUGAAUUAUGUAUAAGGACACUAACAUCUUACACAACUCAGAUGUGAGCCAUGAGUGUUGAGGACUAUUUAAGAUGCUUGCAAGGGUUUAAUGUUCAAUUUCGGUUCAAUUUGUGUUAAGCUUGUACAUCAGGCUCCCAGAUCUACUUCUGCUCUACUGCUUUUAGUGCUGUUGUAUGGGGUUGUUUUAUCCAAAGUGCAGGACUUUGGAUGUGUGACAUCUUAUCAAUGUCCCUUCAAUCAAUAUUUAGCUCAGUGUAAUCUGUGGCUUGCUAUUGGAUGGAGAACGUACCUGUCAUACUACUGACCAUUGGUGUUGAGAUGUACUUGAGAAGUAGUUAUGGAAGGUAUAGUACUGUUUCUUUUAAGCAUCCCAAGUAAUUGGGUAUGUGAGGAAUCAUUUAAACUUUUACAAACUGGCAAUGGUUUUCCUUUAAAAACUUUUUUAUUGUGCAUUGAAUAUUUAGGAGUACAGUAUGUACUGUGACUAGUGCAAAAGAAUAUAGUUGUCUUUUCUUUCCAAUAUGCAUUUCAUUUGUGUGAAAGGAAUUUCACUUCCAUCUGUGAAAAGAUACCUUUUCCAUGAUUUAAAAUUGCUUUAAGGUCUUCACAAAGAUGUGAUGUGAUGAUUGCCUCACCACAACUAAAGCAUUUUUUUAACCAUGCAGUUAAAAACUUGUUUUUGUAUAUGAAUAGAAGUUGUCAUUUAGUUGUUGGCUUUGUGAUUUUUAUGCUCUCUGCAUAUUUCACUUUGUUGUAAGUAAAUUCCUUUUAGUACAUCCAGAGUUUCUGAAGUUACAUAGCCAAUGUGGCAUCUAAGCCCUACUAAUUACAGCUGUUUUUCAAAACUGUCCGAUUCAGGAAAUGAUAAAUGCAGCUGAGUUAGUCUUUUGAGAUCUCUUGCCUUGGGGGUAACACCCAAAGUUUCUUUGCUGUGAGGACAGUGACGUGGGGCUUCUUCAAAUUUGUCUUCUGUCUUUUUUGCACUGUUAACAGGUACAAAACAAAGAAAUGAAGAUGUGUAAGACAAUACCUACAUUCAUCCUGUUGUUUACAGGAUAUUGUGUUAAAAAUAUGCGUGUUGCUGCAACGGAGCCAGAAGCCAAAUCAAGAACAUCAGUGUCACUUGUUUCUAAUUCCACACAGAGCUUUUCAACAGACACACAAACUUUUCAACUAACGACAACAAGUUCUUACCUUCUAGAUUCAGAGACAGGAAUUGCCGAUUCCUCCACAGCAAUAAGUAAUGCAUCUAUAUUAGUGGCAGGACUCAGCAUUUUCUUUGUGCUGUUCUUUCUUUGUGCAAGUCUUGGUGUUUGGAGUGCACGGAAAUUGUCGAAGCGAGAUUCAUUUGACGUUACUCCUGCUGCCCCAUCUGGUGAAGCUUAGGUGACCUUAAGAACAUCAAGACAUGAGAACCGAUGAGAAAAGAAGAAAUGAAAGUCCCAUUAGUUGGUAGCUAUUUAGAGGGCUAUUAUUUCCACAAGAGCAGAAUAUUAAAAAAAAAAAUAAAUUAUUGAAACUAAAGAAAUCUUACUUUCCAAAGUUGGCACACUUAAGUUAUGUCUAUACUAAUGAAUUAAACUUAGCACAGGAAUAUUGCAACUUCUGAGACUUAGCUGGAAUAAUCCUUGUUUAUGCUUAUGUUGUGUUCUACCUAUUGGGAACAGCUCCUAGAAGGCUCUAACUUCUAAGUAACAGUCAAGUUACAUGAAUAAACAGUAUUCCAGUAGAUGGGAGUUUCCUAGACAUUGUUUAAUUUAUUAGUCUAGAUGCAUAGCCUUCUUGUUUAAUGCUAUUUCUAAAUGAUAUGUUUGAUGUAUCCCUCAUUUAGGGACAGGUAUUUUCAGUGAUUAAUCAAACCUCGCCACUGCAAACUUUAAUUUACUCACAGCACUGUGUUUGGCUGCUGCAUUGUAACUGUAAAAAGCUAGUCAUUUAAAUGUAAGUCUUGUUGUCAUAAGCUUAUUACAGUGCCUUAGGCUGGAGUGUAAAUCUACAGUUGAACUGUGUUACAUUUUCUCAGUUUGCAGAUGCUCCCAUGGGAAAGAAUAUUCUCUUGCCUUGACCUUGGGCAAAAGAUGAGCAUUCACACUGAGUGAUAGUGCAGCGUAAAAUCAUUCUGGCAUGUACUUCUGAGAAACUACAUAAGUUUAAGUGUGUGAAACCCAUGUUGUGACAAAACUACUACCCAAAUUCUGUAGCCCGAACAAAGGCAUGCUGUUGUUUUCAGCACAUCAUCUGUUUUAUAAGAGGGGGAGUAAGGAAAUUUCAGGAAAAACUAUUUUUAUAGAAUGUGAAAAAUAUGUUAAGACUUUGAUAACAUUUAUCCAUUAAAGUCAGCAACUCUCUCUCUGCGGUAUUCACUCCUCUAUAUAACUGAUGAACCUUUCUUAUACAAGUUCUAAUCCUUAAUAAUAAUCAUCAUCAUCUAGACUCAAAGCUGAAACCUAAAUUUUAUUGGAAGGAUACCAUCAUUAUUUUCCUAACUGAGUAGCACGUACUGUGUCAGAGACACACAGUGGCCGGUGACUGUGGUGGGGCUCUGCCUGAGCAAUGUGGGCAGUGUGGGGAAGAAGGGGCCAGCAGACGUUUGCCCAAAUAGCUGCGUUGCUAUAGCACAUCAGGAGAAAGAGAUCUGAAGAGGUAAGUCUGAGGCAGUCUGAGGUUGCUUUAUGAGAACAUUCCUGUGUGAGCUUUAGCAAAGGAACUUCAUUUCUGAAUUUGGGAGCCUGUAGUUCAAGACAAAAUUGUUAGCGUGUUUGUACCUCAUAUUUUUCUGUGAAGAUGAAUACUUUUGAGAGCAUGCAACAUGUGGGUUCCACAGUAAUGAAGCUAUACUGAGAAGUGUACAUAUGAAGGAAAUCACAGAUUAUGUCUGCAAAUCAUACCAAGCCAGUUAUUUUUCUAUUAACAGUAGAGAAGAAUACUGUGCCAGCUUUCAGCUUGAAUUAUCAAUUGAUGUUCUAUGCAAAUAAAAACAUGCAAGUAUUUUUUUUUUGACAGUCUGCGUUUACUUCGUAAGUAAAAGCUUUACUUCAAUACGUUACUUCAUUUACUUUAUUUCAGAGAAGUAAAAUGUCUCUGUACAAACUAAUGGUUGAAAAUUAGCCACUUUUUCUAUUUUCCCAAUACAGAAAGCUGUUUGUUGUGUCCAGUUAUCAGUUUAAGAAUGAGAUAAUUAUAUGAACUGUAUCUGCAGCAGUACUAUUUAGGAUGGGAGAGUUGUGCCAUAGCUGCCUUGUAUAUUAUUUUUUUAAAUGCACAUCGUAUGUGGUUGUGUUUUUUUUCCAUUAAAUAGAAGUUUAUUAUAUGCUUAAAUGCCUUCCUAGAUACUAGAUCAGGGUGCACUAGGCAACAAACUGAAUGUGGAAGAAAUAAGAAUAAACAUUUUUCUAUUUUCCAGGAAUAAUUAAUACAAACCAUGUUUAUAUUGCUUUUUAUUAGAUAUCUGCAAACUUAAAGGUGAAUGACUCCACUUUUGGGAAUGUUUUUGUAGUGGCUGUAUUUUAUCUGAUCUUUUACAGAACUUCUUACUAGAAGUUUAAUACACUAGCUGUUAUUUUGUGUUCACUUUUUUGUUAUUGCAUUGUUUAAUGUUUGUGUAAAAUUCCCUCUAGCUUGGGUGACCAGUCCCGUGAGAGUGGAUGCUGAAUACUUAGCCAAUAAACUACCUGUGAACUUGAAAUUAUUUGGGUAAAUGAAGCCGGUGCAACAUUUGACCUGACACAUGCACUCACAAAGCUGUUUGCUUGGCUCAUUGUGCUGCAAUUUCAUUGUGUGCUGAUCAGCAGAGUCUGUCGUUACAUAUGGAUGGAGUGGAUGACUGUAGCUGCUUGCUGCAAAACACUGGGGAGGUGGUAUGAAAAAGCAAGUUUAAGCAAUAUGACAGCAGAAAAGCCUGUGGAGAAGGACCUGGGGGUCCUGGUGGACGAGAAGCUGGAUGUGAGCCAGCAGCAUGUGCGUGCAGCCUGGAAAGCCAACUGUGUUCUGGGCUGCAUUAAAGAAGGGCUGGCCAGCAGGGAGGAGGAGAUGAUUGUCCCACUCUACUCAGGUCUUGUGAGGCCCCAUCUGGAAUAGUGCAUCCAGGCCUGAGGCCCCCAGCACAAGGACAUGAAGAUCUUGGAGUGGGUCCAGAGGUGGACCACUAAGAUGAUCAGAUGGCUGGAGCACCUCUCCUAUGAGGAAUGGUUGAGGGAACUGGGCUUGUUUAGCUUGGAAAAGAGAAGAUUUCGGGGAGACCUCAUUGUGGCCUUCCAAUACUCUCCAAUACAAGGGAGUGUAUAAACACGAGGGGGAACAGCUGUUUACUAGGGUGGAUAGUGAUAGGACAAGGGGGAAUGGUUUUAAACUGAGACAGGGGAGGUUUAGGAUAUUAGGAGGAAGUUUUUCACACAGAGGGUGGUGAUGCACUGGAACAGGUUGCCCAAGGAGGUUGUGGAUGCCCCAUCCCUGGAGGCAUUGAAGGCCAGGCUGGAUGUGGCUCUGGGCAGUCUAGUCUAGUGGUUGCAUGUAGCUUUAAUAAGUGAAAUGCCAAGGCUAAUUUUAGUGAACUACUUUGAAUGUAUCAGGUAUAUCUAGCAGCAGGGUUUUUUUACCUCCAUUUUAAACUAAAAGAAAAAAUAUUCUGGAGGGCCCUUCAGUUUAUAAUAGUCAGCUUGCUUUAAAUUUUAUUUUGUAGCUCCCUCCAGCAGAAAUGCUGAAAAUUGAACAGUAUAAAUUAGGUAGGUAAGUGCAGAGAUGUGUAAGUCAUCUUGAAAAUUUUCUGCAUUUCACGUACUCUGAUUAACAUAGUCGUGUGGUAUAUAUAGACUGUCAUGAGCUUACUGAGGAGAUUGCUUUCUGUCCAUUUGUUAAAGUUGUUUUGAAGUUGACUGUAGGAUGUGGAUUUUGACUGCCUUAAUGAAUCCUAUUCAACAGCAAAUAUUGCCAGGGAGGAUAUUGUAUCUCAGUAAUUGCACUCUAGGUGGAGAAAAAAUACCUCAGUUCUCCAGAAAAAUGAGAGGUGUAGUCAUAUAGAGUGUUACUUGCUGUACAGAACUGCAGAAGAUGCCAGUGAAGGUGCAGUAACAUGGUCAGUAGAGCCCUAAAGGUUAUGCUUUACUCCAGCUCUGGAAAAUUCUGGGUUCUGAGAAAGAUCAUCAGGAAAAUCACGGUGAGCAUCUGAAAAAAGCUCGGUCCCAGCAGAGCACCCUACGUAAGUCAGGAAUGCGUCAGUGUCUUCUCUCAUUGCAGUUUGCAUGCUGUUAGUCAUUCAAAGAUUCCCCAUAAGAGUAGAAUCACAUGCACUAACUGGAUCAGGAAGUUUCUUACAUGAGAACAUGUGCGCACUGAAUGGCUGAAGUUGGAAGGGACCUCUGGAGGUCAAAUGUGUGCAAGUAUUUUGUAUUUUUCUGUGACAAACAGAUACAAAUUCAAUUCUAAAAAAAAAAUCCAGCUCUCCCUCUUCUGUACAAAAUACAGAAUCAUCACUGCAAUUAGCAAAUCGGACUCAAACUAUGUAGAAGAAUCAAAUAUGUUUAUUCAGUAAGUGGCUGUAGCAGGCUUUCAGAUACAGAGCUGCUGAAAAUGGAAAAGUCUAGUAUAGCAGUAAAGUACAGUGCUCUAGCACUUUCAAACAGUAAAUGGUGGUAGAUACAGUACUCUAAUUGUGAAUUUCCAAGGGUAAACCAGAUAUUGUUUUAUAGAAAUAUAUAUAUAUAUGCCGACAUUAUUUCUUCCUCAUUUAUAAUAUUUGGCUAAAAUCUAGUCUUUGUACAAUUUGUUAAUGGAGAAAUUCCUUUUAAAGUUUCAUUGUUAGGCAUAUUUAUUUCAGUGAAUACAAUUUCACAGUUGUCUAUUAUACUGAGUUUGCAAAAUGUCCUAAGCCAGUCAAAAAUUAGCCUCAGGUUUUUGCUCAUCACAAGUAAGCAUAGAUCUGGUGCCUGCAAGUGAAGUUAAAUGAAUGUCUCUCUCUGAAUAACACAAAGGAAAAAAUAAUCUACCAUCCCUUGGUACACAUUUGCAGUUUUAACAGCAGAUAGGUCAGAUAUGGCAGGGUCUGCAUGUAUGAAUAGCAAUAUUGUUAUUCAUCCAUCAGCCUCAUUACACCUAGGCAGUCUGUCUGUGCCCUGUUAUAGGCCCUUAUUGUAACCUGAGAGUAUGUUUUGAUCAAGAUCCUGGCUUUAAAUAAGUACAUUUUAAGAUGGGAUUUUUGUGGGGAUGAUUAACGUGACAUCCCAAAUUCUGAUCUUACAGUGAUUAGAGGGAGAAUGAAUUCAUCACUACUGCAUUUUGAAUCCUAGCACCUCGAAACACUCAUGUUACUCAGAAAUCUGGAUUUGCUUUUUUAUCUGCAUAUUGAAUUUCAAGACCGAUGGUAGACCUUGUUGAUAGAAAAAUUAUCUGUAAUCAUUGGAAGGAUUCCUAUAAAAACAGUGACAUGGCAAAAAGUUUUAUAAACACAGGAGGACGUAUCAACUUUGAAGUCUGUAUAUUCAGUACUAGACAAAUAGGAAGUUAUGGCUAGCUUAACUUAAUAGCUGAACAGAAACGGAACAGAGGAAAGAAACCUAUAAAACUAGAGUUAGGGGGUAGCAUGUUUAAGUUUUUCAAAGAAGAUUAUGAAUUCACCUUGUUCAAGCUUUGCAUUUUUCAUACAGUCAGGCAAGACUUAGAGCUGUGGGGAAGAAAAGGUACCUUUUAGAUUUAGAUUUAAAGGUACUGGUAAAUGGUACCUUUAUAUAUUAUUAAACUCAUAAAAAGUCUAUUACAAAAAUAUUUGUAGCACUUCUGUGAUAGAAAUAGACAAUGAUGAGCAUUUGGGUUUUCUAGUGACUGCAGAUUCCGUGUUUGAUUUUGCACAUGCUUUUGCAGGAGUAAGCAGUGUGCAUGAAGAGCAACAAACACAUUAGGAAGAUAGAGAAGGAUUAAGGUGAAGAGGUAGGGAGAGAGAAUUCCUUAAUUACUGCUCAAUUCAGCCCCUGAUUUUAAGUUAUUUUGAUGUAUUCACUAUUCCAGUUUAUAAAGUUUAUAAGGGUCUUGGGUUGAAAUGCAUCAUUUUUAAAAGCCAUUUAUGCAUUUAAGACCUUAAGUCACAGAUGGUUUGUGUGCUGCUGAAAUGAAAUUUAUUAAUGUAAAUUUGGUACCUCUUCGGCAAUGUACUUUUUUUUUUCUGGGAAUCCAAAUUGAUUUCUUCCUGCUGGGCUCCUGAUGAGUUUGUAUUAUUGUAGUUAAGAUGAAGAAACUUCAUUCUGUUCAUUUUAGGCUAAUCAAGCAAAAGUGAAAUACAAUUACUUGGUUGCAGGUUACUUGGUUAUUUGUCAGAAAACUUAAAUUGAUUUUAGAAAUGAUCAUAAGAGUUUUGGUAUCUUUCAGUAUCUAGAUCUCAGUUCUCUUUCACAGAUUUUACUAACACCUGUUCCGGCUAGUACCAAUAAAGAGCACAUCUUUUUUUUCCUGUGCAGGUGUAUUUGCUGGGAAGCCAAUAGAGGAAAUCAAGCACUUCUGUAUGUGCUAAUUAUAAAUACGAUAGGCAACACAACUGAAUUGCAUGUCAAUGCGAAAAUUAGUUGAAAAUUUAAUUUUGGAUGGAAAUUACCCAGAACAUCAAUAGAUGGUUUGGCAUCAUUUUUUUUGGCCACAGUGAUUUUGCUUCUCAGCAAGCUAGAGCUUUCGGUUUGGUGCUCUGCCAAUGCCAUCUAAGACCAUAGGCCAUGAAUUCAUGGAAAAAUAGCAACCUGUAUGCCAAUUGAACUGUCUGCUCUCCUCUUACGAUCAGAGUUGUGUAACCUGCAAAAAUCCUGUCUUGUGAAUGUUUCUCUCACCUAUUCAAAUAAUUUACUUGCCCAUACAAACAUAGCAAAUAUCCAUAAAAGAGUAAAGGAAAGAUAUCUUGAAUUUGAAAUAAAAAUAAAGUUUCUGUAAUUAUUUGCUAGUCCUGAAAGAGUUUGUGGGGGUUAGCAGCAAAGCCCUUCGCUUACAUGCAUGUAAAUCAGAGCAAUGUAUUGUGUUGGAAAGGUUGUGUAUGGCAAGCAUAGUUAUCCACUUCUCACAAAACAGCUUGAAUCAGCAACUCAGGAUGUGACUGUGCAAAGCUAAUGGAUGGGUUGUAGAAGAGAAAACAACUACUGCAAGCAAGGAAAAAAGAAAAACAAACAACAAAAAAAGCUGUACUUUCCAUCUUCCUGGCUCUAGAACCUUAAAACUUUCUUUCACUUCUGGUUUAAAUGCACCAUUAUUUCAUGGCUUAACGAAGGGCAUUCACAGAAGAUACAAGAAGUCAGAUGUACUGAUGAAUGGGGCCUAAAAAGGUCUUAGAAGGAAGUCAUGAAUUGUGUGACAGUAUUGUAAUCCCUGUCUGCUCUUCACCAAGGUGUUCAUACUAGAUUCAAGUAUUCAGCCAGCUGAACAGAUGGAUGCCUGAGACCUAUUUACAUGGACUUGUAAUGAAUUCUGUUUGUUGCCCUGUUCUGAACAAAAUGCAGACAAUUAAGAAAAAAAAGGGAAUCUGGGAUUUCAUUCAUAUUCAUCAAGGAGUAUGCUUUAUAAAGCUGUUUUCCUACUACAGCACUUAAUUCUCUGCCCUUUACAUUGCUACAAGUGGAAAAAGAGCACCAGGAAUUUUCUCCUACUUUCUCCUUUAUUUUUCCAAGCUUGAGAAAUGGAGCAGCAUCCCUUCCUCUGCCUGGGGAGGUGCGUUACAUGUUGGUGUGAGACUGUGCUGUGUGACUGAGACACCACAGUUCAGUCCUACCUCCUCAGAAGGCGGUGUCUGAUGGCAGGAUAUGCCCUUAUGAGAACAUACAUAUUUUCACAGAAUCUUCAGUUUCCUGUCAGUAAGACAUGUUAGGUAUGUUUUAAUGACAACUCCAGACUAGAGGAGGCUGGUGCUAAGUAUUUUGCAGCUAUGUAGAUAAUGCCAACAAAACAAAACAAAAAAACAAACAAACAAACAAAAAAACAAACCCAGAAGCUGAAUGUCAAGUUAGAUGUAGAUGUAAUUGGGCCAAGUAUUAACUGAAGAAAGUGGGUAUAGCAGCAGGCCUUUGAAUACUAGAGUAGGCUUGGCUUUUACCAUGAAAAAAUUUCAUUUAGACUCACAGCUAAAAAUGUCACUGCUGUGUGUGUACUCACUUCAGCUCAGAAAAUGUGGAAAAUAUGAUCUUCCAAAAUUCCCUUGUGUUUUUUAACCACACAGAAUCCUGGAACCCUCAGAGGUGAUGUGGAUACACAGAACAAUGCAAAUUUUAUGUAGUCACACAAAGUACAUGACCAAAAUGCUUUCCGAAUAUAAAUAAUACAGAUACAGAUGUCCCUCUUUGCUAAGAUGUAAGAAAUCACAAAGUGUAGUUCUAAAAUGCAAUGGCUAAAAGCUGUGUUUUCAAUUUAAAGUGAGAGCUGGGAGCAUGUGAAGAAUAAAUGAAAUGGUGAGAUUAAGCAAGACUGUGGGAUAAAUACUCUGGUUCAGAUAUAAAGGCUUUAGUGACAAUGUCAGAUGCCUGAGGGUGAGAGUGAAGGACAGAAAAGAUCAGGGUUAUAAAUAGUUUACAUAAAUUGAAGAAAUAGGUCUAAGAAUUCCAGAAGAGUAUAAGGAUGAAAUAGCAAAGAGUACAAAAAAGCCAGUGAGUAGAACAGAUGGGGAACUGAGAUUUGAGGACUGAAACAGCCAAGAUAAUAAGCAACCAACAACCACAAAGUUGGAGAAGAAAUCAUUGAGGGCAGGGAAGACAAUUGGAGCUGGAGGCUUGAAAGGCAGGAGCAAGACAGAAGAAAAUGGAAGAGAGAUGUUUUGAAGUAUAGUGAAAUCACGCAGCGCAACAUUUACUAUUUGAAAACUAAAGAUGAGUACAGGCCAAAGUCAUGAGUAUUGCUUUGAAGUGCCCAAAUGUUAGAAAAGACCAGCAAGUUUCAGAAUAAGCUCAUAUCUGACCUGAUUACUCGAAACCAAUGCUGUCUUUAUAAAAUAGGAAAAACAAAAUUGCACUUUGAAGCAAUCCUGAACUCAGUGUGCUUUGGCCCAAAUAUUGAUGAUGUAAGAAUUCUCCUUUUAAAAAAAAAUAAAGAAUUGUACCUUCAGCAGCUUUACAAACGCAGCUGUUGGGCAUAGGCUUCAAUUAUAUGUAAGUCAGUAUAUUGGUACCAGCUUGUGAAAAGAUCGUUAUAGGAUUCCUUUUUUUCCUUUUUUCCCUUCAGGGUCUUUUAGUUAACAGGAAAACCCAAGUGAACUGGUACUUCCAUCUCAGAUUGAAAUCAGCUGAAUAAAAGUUUUCUUUCCAAGAUUUCCUGGCAUGAUGGAAGAGAAAAAUCUUGCAAUCUCUGAAUCUUACGUAGUAAGUGAAUAAGGAAAUAGGAGUUUUGUCCUGUAUUUCUGAAUUGUCCUGUACAUUUCUGAAUGUAAGUCUUGUAUUUUUUUCUGAAUGGUAGAAGCACUUUCUAUGGCAAUUUCUGCACAGCACCACUGCAGUCUGAUUGUGUGGACAUACAGGUAGAUUUAAAGAAAACAAGCAGCUUUUUCAAAAUGUACUUUGUCAGCUUCAUAGUAUUUCAUCUUUGUGGUACAAUGCAAGCUGAGCAAGUUAAUGAUUAUCACUAUAUCCUUAUGAAAGGAUAGUAAUAAUCUUUCUUUCCUAUUAUUGAGGAGAGUUCUUGCUGACUCUUGACAGGUUUGCUGGUGGUGGUGUAAUUGAUGGUUGUUCUGUUUUGUUUUUGUAGCAGAAGCCAGGUUCUGCUUUAUCACCCAUUUUUUUGUUAACCUAACUUCGGCCUGUUCCAGAGAAAUAUUAUUAAACUGUAGAAUGGGCUCAGAUUUUUGGAAGCUCUGUUUUGAACAGAGUCCAGUGUGCAUGGUGUUCAAGCAGAUUACUUCCUUUGCUUCAUGAAAUGACUGAUGAAGUUCUCUCUCUUAAAAAAAAAAAAAAAAAAAAAAAAAAAAAAAAAAAAAAAAAAGGCCUUCUAUGGUGUCAUGACUGGCUGGAUAGAGGUGAGAGCAGAGGAUAUUGUUUAUCUUGACUUCAGCAAGGCUUUUUGACACUGUCUCCCAUAACAUCCUUGUAAGUAAGCUGAGGAAAUGUGAGGUAGAUGAGUGGAUUAUGAGGUGGAAUGAGACAAUUUUGCAGUAGUGCAAGAAGAUGUUAAGACUGACACUUGUUUAGCCAUGGCAUUAUAUUUUUAUUAUUUCAAAAAGCUAUUCUCACUGCACUGCAUAUGUCUUCACAGAGUUAAACAUUUUGGAUCUAAAGUAGCAGGAGACACCUAGUAUUCCUACAAAAUUAAUGGAGGAGAUUUUGGAGAUCUUCUGGUGAUCCAGUUUUUGUCCAAAGAAAUUGUAGCUCUGGUAAAUAUGAAUAGAUAAUUUCAAAAUACAUUUUCUGUACUUUUCCCUCAUCUUUCACCCAAUUCCAAGUGGUGUCUUAAUUAAACGUGAAGUGAUAUCUAAGCUAGGUCAUUACUUCUCCGCUAGUGAAAGCAGAUUAGAGUAGAAAUUGACAAAAACUUCUACAUGUCUAAGGAAUUUAAAUAGCUGUGUAAAAAAUGGGGUGUUUUUGAAUAACAUUGAGUUAUUCAACUAGAUGUUGAAGUUUUCAGCUAGCUUUCAAAAUACCCAGUCUUGGUGUGUAAGCUCUGCAUCAAGCAUGCAUCUAUUUUAGCACAUAGAUUCAGCCACACUAGGGAAAAAGGCUAUUUUUAAGACAAUGAAAUAUUUCAUCUUUUACUUGGAACAUACACUUGGUUGAUGUUAUAUGUUAACAUUUCUACAUUUACUUACUUUAACUGAACUUAUUCCUUUUUGGUCAGGGAAUAAGAAGGAAAAUAAAGUAGUACCAUAAACCAGCUACAUAAAAAGUUUUAAAAGCACAGGAAGUGAAAUGCAAACAAACCAAUUUGUUUCCACCUUAACUUUUUUUUAUUCUAUUUCAUUUUAUCAAUUCAGGUUGUUUUGCUUUCUGACAGGAAAAAUAUCUUACUUUUUUCUUCUGCUCUAAAUCAUUUUAACAUCACUGGGAAACUCUUAUAUCUUACUUCAGCCUGACGAAAAUAUUUGCAGAUGUGCAGAAACAUGCUCUACAUAUGCUUUAGAGAAUGCCUGCUUUAGAAGAUGCAGUAAGGAUAAGACAGUGAUACAUAAUUGCAGCUAAUUUUUUGGUUGACAAGUUUCAGCAUCUUAUUUUAGGUCUAUUGCAACGGUUAUGAUAGAUUUCCUUGAAAGAUUUGCUGUUGCAACAGCUUGUUGAUCAAAAUUGUCUUUCCUUGGUUGGAAUGGAAUUUGAGAAUUAAACGGGCUAAAGAAGAAACCAAAUUUCAAGGGCAGAUCAGACAAUCCUGUAAAUCUUCAGUCAUCACUCUAGAGACAGACUGAAAAUAUGAAGAGUGCACAAAUUGUUUCAUGGAAGAUCUUCAAGCAGAGUUUAAUGUUUUUGGUUUGGAGAACUGGGGUUUCUUCAUCUUAAUCAAAUUCUUGUCUCAGGCACAAAUCUUUCUCCUUUCCUGCCACAGAACAAAAAACGACCUACUUUUUCCCAGCUAUACCUUACUCUGGAAAUAGAAACACAUGCUCGUUCUGAAGAUAUGCCACUAAGGGUAAAAAACCAUCUUUGAGCUGUCACAUCACUGAAAUCUUUGGCAAAUGCAGGAAAGGAGGACUUGGCAUUCACAGAAGCUGGCUGCAGCUGUGCUUUAAUUGAUACUCUCCAGUAAUACCAUGAAAUUGAUCACUUGUUAAAAUCUGAAGCUACUUUUUAGUUCAAUAUUUCAUUUAAUCAAAAUUGCUCACGAAGAUGUAUAAUGUUUCUGUACAUACAUGACAGUUCAGAUGUGACUGUGGAACAACCUUUUUUUUCUGUCUGACCCGAGUGAUUUAGCCAUUGGACAGCAACUAAUUUGUAUAUUUAAUAAAAUCUAGAAAUGUUUAGUCUAUCCAUGUAAAGCCUUAAGAAAAAUCCCCUCAUUUUCAGAAUAGUUUCUGCAUGAAAUUUUGAUGCAUUGGUGUAAGUGUUCUUUUGGGGGUUAGUAACGUGAUUUAUAGCUGCCAACUGAAACAUGAAGUGUUUAGAAAAAAAGUGCGUAUUUAAUCUGCUAUGGUUUUUUAGAGAUGCAUCUGCAGUUUGUUUUGUUGUAGUUUUUGGAUACAUACUCCACUUUUUUCUUCAGCAAGUCCAUCCUUCUUUUGCAGCUAAAGCUGGUAUGUAAGUUUACAGAUAACAAUAUACAGACUGUAUUAGACAAGAAGCCUUGCAGAUAAUUCAGACUGGAGAUAACCAGAUCUGAAAAAAAGAUGUUUAUAGAAAUGUCUAGGUAUAGGUAAAGCCCCUUAGAGGUAGGAUACAUACUUUCACUUGCUGUAGGAAGCUGAGUGGUAGUCUUUCUAAAUGUUUUGUAAAUAUUUGGAACUUCUGCUGUAGUUUUCAAAACAGUUUUUAGAAAAGCUCUGCAUACAGACACACCCAGAAGAUUGCCAAUACUGUCUGCUGUAACUCAAUGCAGGAAUUAACAUUCUUUUCCUGUAUGCAUGCCAUAGCUGAGCUUCUGGUUAGUUUUAUCUUCCUUUUUCUUUCUUUUUUUUUUUCUCCUUGUAAAUCUCCUCCCAUGUUUGUAUCCUGUGUCCUAUUUCAUGAAUAGUUCAGGACAUACCCUCUUCAAAAAAAGAAAAUUCAGAAAAGAUGGUUAUUCUUAAGCAUUGUGGCAAAACUUGUGGUUACGCAAGUAAAAAUGGCAUUUACUUACUCAGAUUUUUUUUUUUUUUAAUUUUUAUUUAUUUAUUUAUUUUAUUUGCACAUAAGGAAGUCUAUCAGGCCUUCUGUCCAUCAUGGGCCAGUUACUGAGGCUGUAUGCCCAGUGCACACCAAUUGCAAAGCUGUGCCCACAUUAUAGUUCUGUCCUCAGAAAAAGUACACUGGUUAACAAGGUUCAUCUGACAGCACUGCCCACUCAGCUACGGGGCCACAAAUGUAAUGGGCGCAGGAAAAAUUCAAAAUAACUUGUUUAAAAAAAAAAAAAAAGUGUUUUUUGAAUAACUUGUUGGAAUGUGUAGCAUUUUUCAUGGCACCGUAUUUAUUAGCAUAGAUAAGAAAAGUGUCUUCAGUAGGCUUUCCCUGGUGAUCGUUCAAAAAAAAAGGUAAGUCUGGCCAACAGCUCCUGAAGGGAGGCAGGAAGAGCACGAUUAUGAGGCCGCCGUUUUGCAGCAGGGGGCGCCAUUUUACAGCGGAGGCCGCCAUUAGAGGGUGUAACGGACCUGAUGCUGCUCGUCCUCCUGAGGAGGAUACACUGAGUGAGACCAUUGUCCUUCAAAAUUUUCUGGAGAUGAAGUCUUCUGGAGGAAAGCUCUGGGAAAUGUCUAUCCUUCCUGAAUGAGUACUGGCUCCACCUUCGGCUUUCAGCAGUCUGUCAGCCUGUUUGUGGGAAACAAAAAGGAAUCCUUGUGUUUGGCCGGAUACCCAGCACCUGCGGAACACAUAUCUACAGCAAAUAUUUUGCUUUGUUUAACUUCUACCUGAAAUAAAGCUGAUGCUAUGGAACUUCAGUUUGGGAAGAUAAGAUUUGGUUUGUUUCACUUGCUACAGUGGCACUUGGGAUGCACUAGCACAAAGCAGUUGUUGCUGAGCUAUUCAAUACAUCUUUUCUCUCCACUUCCACUGAAGGCUUUUUAUUUUGGCUAGUUGUAAACAAUGAUGGUUACUUGGCAUGGAGUUGUGGUUUUUGGUGCUGGGCUGGCUUGUAGGUCUUUUUUUUUUUCUUUUUUGCAAAGUAAUGAUUUUCAAGGAAGUCUACAGCAGUAAAGCUUUUUGCUUAAGGUUAUUCUAAGUGUAAGUAAUUGGUAACUAGAAUAGUAUUUUCUAGGGCUGUCCUAACAGUGUGGCUUUUACAUUUUUUUUUCCGGUGGGUUUGCUUAACUCUGCUUGUGACGUUUUGAAAAGCAAAAAAUGGUAAUUUGACCUGCUCUCUCUGCUGCUGUCUUCAAGUUCCCCCUCUUCAUACAACGAUGAUACCUUUUGAUAACUGUUAUUGAAAGAGCUGAAACUGAGAAAAGGUUACUUAAUAGAAAUGGACAAUUAGUUCUCUUCUUUUUCCCCCCUUCUAGGGAAUUUCAGAAUUAUGCUAAAUUAGAUGAUGGCAUCGGGAACCAAACAAUUUAAUCUCAGUCAUAACGUGUCUGAAACUGUAAGGUAGGAUAGGAACCACUCCUGACUGGAGCUGUUUUGUUCUACCAGCUCAGCUGAACAGUGCACACGGCAGUGUGAUAACACCACAGAUCUCCCAGACCUUGAGUAAGAAUCAGUUCUUUUCACAGAAAUGAAGACCAUCUCUACAUCUACAACUGUUUUAGAGACCUGAGUUGUUACACUGUUUGCAGUUAAAAUAAUGCUACCAUUCUUAGACCAUUCUAAGGAAGAACAAGUUUCAGUGUCACUUAACUUUACACUGUUAUCAAUGGUAAGCAGAAAGUUAAUGUGAUUUUGUUCCUGUCUCACUGUUCAUUCAUUCUCAAGUUAAAUACCUGGCAGUACCUCUAAUGUCAAAGUACAAAGUAUACUUGUGCAUUAAAAUUAAGUUCAAUAAUAUUAAAACCAAAGCCACAGAAACUGUAAAAAGGGGGGUUGAUUGGUGAUGGCUUUCAGCAAAAACCAAACCAAACCAAACAACCCACCUUACCUGUUCAGCGUUUAUAACAUUGCAUGUUAAAAACAAAACACAGAUCCCACAACUCUGAGAUGACCGAAUAAAUAAUAGGUACUGAGGUAGUAGGAAGAUUAAUGGAAAAAAAAAAAAGCCACGUAAAGCAUUAUUAAUAAAUGAAGCCUAUUUAUUAUUUCAAGUGUUAAUGGUAAAAAAAAGUCAGCACAGCUGUUGCAUUUAAAAAAGUGAAACUACAUUUAAGUACUAUGUUUCUAGUUCAGUAAACAGAUGAACCCGAUGUCCUUUAAUGACAUAAUAGUUGAGCAUUAUACAGUACAUCUUAUGAAGACCCGUAAAUUAAAGAACUACUUUUUAAAUUUAGUGAUUAUAAAACUUCUGCAUUCACAGCUUUAGCUUCUUUUUUCUUCCACGACCAUCAGGAGUACCAUCCAUUUUGCGCUUCUGUGCCUGGAAGGGAAGUUUUUCAAGUAAGAUAAUGUGACAGAAAAAGAUCCAUAACUGCAUUUUGAGCCAAAACAGAUGGAGAUGGUUUAACCCGGGCAGCUUUAAAAAUGUGAUAAAUCACAAAAUGUAAUGUGGCAGAUAUACACAUCCCACUCAGAAUACCAGCUGUCUUAUAUUCUAACAAUUCUGGAAGGGCAUAAUUUCAUAGAGGACAGAAAUGUUUAGAAACAAGUAAGGAUGUUAUAAAGCUUCCUUACUUAGAGAAUAAUAGUUCUAGGCACCACUUCUAUGAAUGAUUAUAAGCAACAAUUUUAACAACAAAAUCUAGCCAAGAAAACAGGUGAUUAUUUCCUGUACAAAAAAAGGCCUGUGUGUUUAGCAGUACUUUAGAGUACUUACUAUAUUAAGCAUAUAUAUGCACUUGUUUUCCCAAAUCUAGCUCUUGGAGCCCAUUUCAUGACCAACCCUCUAUCUACACAAGGAAUGCGAAGGCAGGCUCUGAUGUCUAAUUUGUAAACAAAUCUGUAGCAUUCUCAAAGUGAACUGAAAGGUUUGCACUGCCUGCCUACAUAUCCUGCUGUGGUAAACAUCCAUUUCUUUAUGGAUAAAAAUUAAUGAAAAGGCUAAAUAAAUCUCAAGUGUAUUUUAUAACGGUAAACUCAUAUAGCCUACCAACUCAGUGAUCAAAAAACAAGGCAAGUGUAUCUGUUCCAGGUACAGUUUAGAACCUGAACUUUAUUUGCCAUCCACAAGGGUAAUAACUGAGUAACCGUGUGAACUUUAAGCAGUUCUUAGCAAUGCCCUAGCAGGCUUUUUGUUGGAUGCUAUUUUUAAAUAAUUUUAGAUAUCACUUUGCCCAGACAAUCAGAAAAGCUCACCGUCUCCAAGUCCUUUUUUUUUUUUUUGUAAAAACAAUAGAAAAAAAGCACAACCAAAACCAAAGCAGCACCUCUUUAAAUCUUACCGAAGAUGGUUUUGGUCCACGUUUCUUCUUUUCUGCCUUUUCCUUUUCUUCCAGUUCCAUGUUCUCUCUUUCAAUCAGGGUGAUUAAAGUAUUGCAUCUCCUUUGUAGCUCCUAAAUCACACAACACAGUCACUCACUACUUUAGAUUGCCACUCAGUGUAAACAGCAUCAUGUCAGAAUACUAGAAAUACCUCCAAGUUGUAUGUUUUUUGUAUUUCAUGCAAAACCUUGGAAGUAGAAGGGAUUAAACAAAUACUUUAAUGAUGGUCAUUAUCUGGCUUCACAGCAAUGGGUUUGAUCACUGAUGUUGGCUUUUAAAACAAAUCUGUAUUUAAUUCAAAUUCACGUUUAUUGUGAAACACAGUAGUAACUUGAAAUUUAAAUUUCAUCUCCCAUGAAAAUUUUAUAUUACUGCAUUUACCAUCUUAAAAUUGUUGAAAAGUCUAUAAAAAUGUAAUAAACUGUAUAUAUGCACACACCUUACCCUUGCAGAAGCCAUUUAUUAAAUCUGCUAUAUACCUGCAGUGUGUUGGUGCAGGUGUUCACAGGGAAGGAGCUGGAGAUUAAUACGUACCAUUGCAGUUCUAGACUUGAGAAACCAGUCAAAUCUGAACUGGGGGGAGUUUCGGAUACACUGCCUUAAUUCAUCAUAGACAUUUUCUUUAUCAAAUCCUAGCUUGUGAAGCAUACAGAUUAAAAAGCGAUCCUCCUCUUCAGUGUAAUUCUUUCCUUUGUUAGUACCGUAUGAUAUUCUUAGCUGGUGGAAAGGGGCUUUGUAUCUGCCAAUCUUUGUGUCAAGUGCUUUUUUUAUGCUGAUCCGUCUCUGAAUUCUGGCUUCUCCUCUUUCUAUCUGAGCCAUGAUCUUCUCUAUGUCUUGGAGUUCGUUGCACCUUUCCCAGAACACAGCUGAAUACUCAAUGACUUCCUCUGGGGUUUUUCCUUCUACUUCUCGUGCUAUAUUUUCAAUAUCGUCACGGCCCCACUUCUCAUUAGCUUUGAUGAACUGGUUAAAAUCUCUCUUAUUCCAGUUAGUAAAUCCCUUUGCAGCAAUUAAAAGCAAACAUUGCAAAAUUCAGGAUUUGUCCAUCUCCACAUUUGUUUUAACAGAAUUUUUUUAAAUGCCUGAAGAGUAACACUUGCAUCAUAGCAACAAUGUAAACCUGUGCUUUUCCUGCUGUUUGAUGUAGAAGAACAACAUUUUUAUAUUAAACUCAUUGUAAUCUCCCUAUGUAAAAACUGCCAAAUGAUUAGCACUGGUUCUCUAAUUACUACUUUCAGAUAAAAUUAUUUAGGUCAUAAGUGAACCCCUUUAAGACUGAGAAUCCCUCAAGAGAAGCAAGUAGUCUCUACAAUGGCUUUGUUCAGUCCAAGGACCACCCAGAUAUCAUUAAGCUCCUGUGCCACCCCCAGACUCUUGCCCUCAGGACGCCUGUUGUGUAAUGUUAUUCGAUAGGGACAGAAACAGCACUGCUGAAGUUAUCAGCUGCCAAAAUUGGCUAAUGGCACAUAGUAUUAACAUUAAAAAACUGGUACAAAGCCAGCCACACGAUGAUUUAACCACAGCUUGAUUGUACCAAUAUUUACUAGCAACUCUUUCACUGCACUACUACUCAAACAAUAGUUUGUCUUACCCACAGAAAAUACAACACGAUACCCAGACAAAUAGGCAUUAAUCUACUUUGAAUUAUUUAAAUGCACAAGCUAAUAAUCAGGUAGCUGCUUAGCUGAUAUCUUCUUUAAGAGCAGAACAUUAUUAACUUCAAAUCAUAGUUUAAGAAACCUGAGCCUUCAACCCACAGCACAUAGUUACAUAUGAGAGUGGUGAGUAAAGAACGUGCUUCACACUAUGUGAAAAAGGAGUACAUUCAGCCUUGCAUCUAGUUUGCAUGGUUCUGCAACUGAGAAAAGAUGUCACAGGCUACAGUCUGUGCAAACCUGUGAAGCCAGGCUCAGACACCGGAUAGCUCUUAAUCAUUAGGCUUAAAAAUACACAGAAGGUAGAUCAUGUCUGGUAUACUCUGAAUGCACUAACUACGUAGGUAGGCAUCCUUCAAAAAGGUAUCUACGCCCAUCAUUACAAACCUCAUGUUAAACUCUUUUUCAGUAGUACAAACCAAAAUGCGCAGCCUUUAAUUACUUCAAAUGUGGCAUUUAUAAAUGGAUGACAAAAAAUUGUUCAUAUAAAGCAGUAAAACAAAUCAAGCUUCAGAUGAUGUCAGUAUCAUUACAGAACCAACCAUACCUGGGUUAGAAGCUUCUCUUUUUCUUCUAGUUCUUCAUCAUUGAGAGGUUCAGCCUCAUCAAUCUUAAGCUGCUCUUCCUUUUGCGCUUGGGCUGCAUUUGGAAGAUCAGGAU